rnacentral:misc_RNA from 1 species
AAGUCGUAACAAGGUAACCGUAGGUGAACCUGCGGUUGGAUCAUUACAAAAUGUGUCUGCAGUCUUACCGCCUCGCUUGCAGCGAGUGCUGGUUUGACAGCUACCAACCUUUGUGCACUGAAAAUUGUAUUUGGGGGUGCAUUGCCCCCAACCUUAUAAACCAUUCUUUUUAUUUGUCUGACUUUUGUAUUCUAACGAAUCAAAUACAACUUUUAACAACGGAUCUCUUGGCUCUC